UACGUAGGUGGCAAGCGUUGUCCGGAAUUAUUGGGCGUAAAGCGCGCGCAGGCGGUUUCUUAAGUCUGAUGUGAAAGCCCACGGCUCAACCGUGGAGGGUCAUUGGAAACUGGGGAACUUGAGUGCAGAAGAGGAUAGUGGAAUUCCAAGUGUAGCGGUGAAAUGCGUAGAGAUUUGGAGGAACACCAGUGGCGAAGGCGACUAUCUGGUCUGUAACUGACACUGAGGCGCGAAAGCGUGGGGAGCAAACAGG
rnacentral:rRNA from 1 species